AGUUCCACUCAUAUCCCACUAACACCUCAACCAGUUGAGCUUUAAAUCAACUUUCCCUCACACAGCGUGAAUUGCCAGUGCCUGGCUCCUCUCAGAAGACCCCAGUCUGCAAUCAGACAACUCAGCAUGCCCUGGUGUAGGACCAGAACAGCCAACUCAGUGUCUUUGAAAUCACUAUUCACAGCUGUGGCUUCCUGUUUGGUGAAGAAAGAUGCAGAAGAUGCAGAAUGUGAAACACAGACUCCAGAUUCCGCACACCAGCUGCCUUGAUCUCAUCCUGAGGAGCUCCUGAGAUUUGAAUGUUUAUGUUCACCACCAUUUAAGAGUUGAAAGAUGUUUAGACUGAAGAAGGCACAACAAUAGUUUUCACAUGUUUGAAGGCUGCAGCUAAGGAGAAAGUGAUAGACUUGUGGUUGCUGGGCAAGAAAAGAAACAGACUGGAUUUGCAGAGAGGCAGACUGAGCGUAGACAUUGGCACAAAGAUAAGAAGAGUGAAGCACUGCCAGAGACCAGAUUCAAAGUAUCUGAUCUACUUCCUAUUUCCUCUGGAUGUACACAGAUAAGAGCUAACAUUCUCUGCUGAUGGUUUUGGUUUUUGAGUUGUGUGAAUGAAGCACAUUGUGGACGUUUCUGUAGAAAUGGAUUUUGGCCUCAAACCCCUUGUCAGUCCCACUUGCUGGAAUUUUGCCAAACACUCUAAGUGCUUUCCAUAACAAAGGCUUCUGCAAUCAAAUUGCAAAAGGCGGCAGCAUGACAGGAAGGAAUCUAGGUAAUUGUGCAUACUGUGGGUUUCGUGCCCUUCAAUUCCAUGUGACAGCUGAUCUUCAAAGCUAUGAUCAUCUCUGAUGCAAGCUAGCUGUUGAUUUUGGUAUUGUUGGGUUUCUGAAAUAAAAGAUAUUUAGCUUUUU
rnacentral:lncRNA from 7 species